rnacentral:misc_RNA from 1 species
GAUGAAGAACGUAGCGAAAUGCGAAAAGUAAUGCGAAUUGCAGAAUCCGUGAGUCAUCGAAUCUUUGAACGCACAUUGCGCCCUUUGGUAUUCCGAAGGGCAUGCCUGUUCGAGCGUCAUUAUCACCACUCAAGCCCGGCUUGCUGUUGGUGGCAGCGCAGCCGGUCAACCGGCUACGCUCCACCCAAAGAUAAUGACGGCGUCUGCGAGGACUCCUGUACAUUGAGCUUUCGGGCACGUACAUGGCUAGAAGUCCAGGCGCCGGUCGACGUCCUCCGGGACACUUUUUACCAAGGUUGACCUCGGAUCAGGUAGGGAUACCCGCUGAACUUAAGCAUAUCAAUAAGCGGAGGA